GACGAACGCUGGCGGCGUGCUUAACACAUGCAAGUCGAACGGAAAGGCCCUGCUUUGGUGGGGUGCUCGGGUGGCGAACGGGUGAGUAACACGGGAGUAACCUGCCCUUGACUUUGGGAUAACUUCAGGAAACGGGGGCUAAUACCGGAUAGGAGCUCCUGCUGCAUGGGGGGGGUUGGAAAGUUUCGGCGGUUGGGGAUGGACUCGCGGCUUACCAGCUUGUUGGUGGGGUAGUGGCUUACCAAGGCUUUGACGGGUAGCCGGCCUGAGAGGGUGACCGGCCACAUUGGGACUGAGAUACGACCCGGACUCCUACGGGAGGAAGCAGUGGGGAAUAUUGCACAAUGGGCGGAGGCCGGAAGCAGCAACGCCGCGUGCGGGAUGACGGCCUUCGGGUUGUAAACAGCUUUCGCCUGUGACGAAGCGUGAGUGACGGUAAUGGGUAAAGAAGCACCGGCUAACUACGU
rnacentral:rRNA from 1 species